GUCUACGGCCAUACCACCCUGAACACGCCCGCUCUUGUCUGGUCUCGGAAGCUAAGCAGGGUCAGGCCUGGUUAGUGCUUGGAUGGGAGAAACAGUUAUGUGACUGUUGUUU
rnacentral:rRNA from 1 species